AACGAACGCUGGCGGCAUGCCUAACACAUGCAAGUCGAACGAGAUCUUCGGGUCUAGUGGCGCACGGGUGCGUAACGCGUGGGAAUCUGCCCUUUGGUUCGGAAUAACAGUUGGAAACGACUGCUAAUACCGGAUGAUGACGAAAGUCCAAAGAUUUAUCGCCAGAGGAUGAGCCCGCGUAGGAUUAGCUAGUUGGUGUGGUAAAGGCGCACCAAGGCGACGAUCCUUAGCUGGUCUGAGAGGAUGAUCAGCCACACUGGGACUGAGACACGGCCCAGACUCCUACGGGAGGCAGCAGUGGGGAAUAUUGGACAAGGGGCGAAAGCCUGAUCCAGCAAUGCCGCGUGAGUGAUGAAGGUCUUAGGAUUGUAAAAUUCUUUUACCAGGGACGAUAAUGACGGUACCUGGAGAAAAAGCCCCGGCUAACUUCGUGCCAGCAGCCGCGGUAA
rnacentral:rRNA from 1 species